CUACAAGUGCGCCCCAUUUUCCGGGUUCUUCGACGAAGUUAGCACGAAAGGGCUUUUAUGAAUUAUACCAACAUUAAAAUCUUAUGCAGUUCAGCAGUACCCUUUUAAAGUAUUGGCCUUCUUUUAUUCUGUUUAAUCGUCUUCAAAGAGAACACCCAACUCUAAAGAGUUAAGAACUAAUUUCUUAAGAAGGUAUCUCUUAUCGUUUAUAAUAUGGUGUUAGAAAAGUGCAAUGGGCUCUCUGAGGGAGAAGUCACAAGGUUUAGUCAAUUUCAGGGCCCAGAAGUCGAAGGGUUAUCAAAAAAUGCUAAAAAAAAGUUAAAUAAGAAAUUGCGUAGAGCCCAAACUAAAAUUUCAUACUUGGAAAUAAGGAGAGAACUACGUAAAAAAAAGAGGAAAAUUACUACUCUUAAAAGAAGGGAAGCACUGCAAAAAGGAGAACCUGUUAAAAAAAAGAACGUUAUAAAGCGGAUGGCCGAUUCUAUGAGUACACAAAGGAUAGUAAUUGACUUAAAUUACGAAAACUUCAUGUCUGAGAAAGAAAGAAUGAGCCUAGCAAAACAGCUGGAAUUUUGCUACAGCUCUAAUAGAUAUAGUGCUCAGCCAUUUCAACUCUACUUUACUUCUACUGUGGAUAUUAUAGUUUCCGAAAGAUUCGUUCAAACCAUUCCUUAUUGGCGUUCUUGGGAUGUUUUUUGGAAGAAUGAAAAUUUUAUGCAUCUUUUUAAAUCGGAGGAUUUAGUUUACCUCACGGGCGGUCAGUUAUAAUCCAAUUCACCAAACAUUCUUAUCGACCUGGAUCCAAAAAGUGUUUAUAUUAUUGGUGGACUCGUAGACCACAAUAGACAUAAGGGUCUAACUUUAAGGCGAGCGGAAUCUUGCGGAAUUCGCCACGCUUGUCUUCCCAUUGCCGAACACUUGAAGUUAUCCUCUAGUAAGGUUUUAACGGUGGACCAAGUUUUUAAAAUCCUUGUGGAAUUUCAAAACUGCAACGAUUGGUUGGGAGCCCUUUUAGCUGUUGUGCCUUCAAGAAAGCUACUUCGCCUCAACUCUGGAGACCAUCCAACGGUCGAAACAGAAAAACUUGCUUAAAUUUCACCUCUGUAGUCAACCUGCUAUUUCUUUCAAACUACCUCUACUUUGCUGCCCUUCAGCAUUUUUCCAGGGGGUUUUUUUAUUCAGUUACAUCUGAAACGUAAGGAAUUGUUCAGUUUUUACCUUAUUUGGUUUACCGGCCUCCUUAGAAAGA